rnacentral:rRNA from 1 species
UACGUAGGGACCAAGCGUUGUCCGGAAUCAUUGGGCGUAAAGCGCGCGUAGGUGGCCAUUUAGGUCCGCUGUGAAAGUCAAAGGCUCAACCUUUGAAAGCCGGUGGAUACUGGAUGGCUAGAGUACGGAAGAGGCGAGUGGAAUUCCUGGUGUAGCGGUGAAAUGCGCAGAUAUCAGGAGGAACACCAAUGGCGAAGGCAGCUCGCUGGGACGGUACUGACGCUGAGACGCGAAAGCGUGGGGAGCAAACAGG